rnacentral:lncRNA from 1 species
GCCCAAGUUUCAAUUGGACAGAAACUUGGAAUCAUGCAACUUGGUUGCACGAUGAAUGAGAAAUUUCAUAUUUGGAAAUUAGACUAAUUCAUUGACAAAGUGUCAAGUGAAGGACUAGGAGAUCGAGCACACAAAGUUGCGUGUUGAUUAAGUCCACCACAAGAGUAACAAAGAUAUUUGUCAUAAUUUACUAAAGGUUUAGUAAAUAUGAUUACACUUAUAAUAUUAAGUGUAAUUGUGAAUUAAUUAAAAGGGUUUAAAUCAAUAGCAAAACGAAUGAGAAGAAUCAAGUAGGCAGCAAGAUAAAAGCAAAGAUAUUUGUCAUAAUUUACUAAAGGUUUAGUAAAUAUGAUUACACUUAUAAUAUUAAGUGUAAUUGUGAAUUAAUUAAAAGGGUUUAAAUCAAUAGCAAAACGAAUGAGAAGAAUCAAGUAGGCAGCAAGAUAAAAGCUUCUCCAUUUUAAGAAGAAGGGAGAGUAGCUUUUAUGCUUUAUGAUAGGUCUUAAUGAUUAAGAACCAUAUCUCAAUUGAUCCUCUAAGUGAGUCUUAGUACAAUUGUAUGUCUAAGAAGAGGAAUCAAGAAUUGAAGAAAUGGUUAAAUCAAGAAGUAAAUCAUACUUCGUUCCAAAACAAGUCUUAGAGUUAAGAUUGUGACAUUGAGUGGAUAAGUAUUAAGAAGGUUUAUAACAUUCAUCAAAUGUGGAAAGUUGUGAUGUCUUGGAUAAGACAAAGACCAACUAGGACCAAUUUAUGAAAUGUUUUGAUAAAAGCUACACUAACUCUUGAAUAUUUGUUUGUCAAGAAAUGUUUAUUGACAAGAGAAUCUUAUAUGUCAAGGAGUCAGUGGGAGUCUUAAUGGUCUUGAAAGGUUUCAAGAACAAAUCAAAUAAACCUUAUCGAUCAUCACUAGCACACGAGUUGAGGUUUACAACCUAUCGUGUUGACAUUAUUCUGUUUCUAUGAUGUUCCAAUUGAGUUAAUUAUGCAUGUGAGUCCUAUGAGUUCUCAUUUGAAUGUAUAAAAGGCAAGGACCUUGAUCAAUGAAAAUUACAUUGAUAGGAAAAGGUGAGUUGCUUAACUACUUGGAAGGCAUGGUCGGCAGCUGUACUACCAUAAGGCAAGAAAUCAAGAUUAAGGAAGUUCGGUCCAUAUGAGUUUGAAUUUGUCGUAAACUUUGGUUUUGACAAAUUCACAUGGAUAGGAACACAUAUGCCGUUUAAAUCUAAGUGUCAUAAGAUUUCCUCCUUCAUGAAAAUGAUUGUGAGGAAAUGCUUUCACUAA